CCAGGCUAAAUAAUCUGCUUGGGUUCACUCUCAGUAGUUUUUGUUCCCUGAAUGCUUUCUGUAUUGCUUUGGAGGAUGGGAAUGAAAAUGGCCGCCACCCAAUCUCUGGCCCCAUAGAAGCCAAGAGCUCAGGGCCCCACUCCUCAGUGCACCUUCAGAGGGGGUCUGCUUUGAAGACCAGCAAGCCACAUGCCAAAAGCCAUGUGCCUGACCUGCUGUAGCCUGGACUGGCUCCCUUGUCUAGCAACCACUGUCCCCAUGGAGGAGUUGGAAGAAUCCUCAUGGCCUAAAGCAAACAAGAUAGAAGGAGUUCCUGAAGAAUGUGGGGAAUUGGAAAGUAGAGGGAAAAUUGAGGAGACACAGUGGCUUCUGGAUUGGAACCAUAUAGUAGCUGAAAGCCUUUAAUAUAUACUUCAAAUCUGUGAAAAUGCGUGCAUAAUUACUUGGGUACAUAAGCAUGUUACUGAGCUGACCAUCCUUUGGCAUCAAGAAUGACUGACCUGACGACUGCUCUACCUUGUGGACACAAGGCCGUGGGAGCGCCAGCCUCUCAGUGCAGCCCCUAUGGAACAGAAUGGAGAACUGGUCACCUGGCUCCCAGCUCCCGCUAUCACACGUCUGUCCCGUGUUGCAUGUGUCCCAUGCACUUGCAGGCUGCAUGUGGGUUCGAUCCAGGUGGAUGCACUUUUCUGUCUCAGCAUCAACAGGGAAGCCAGGGGGCAGGAGGCUAGAGACUCUGGGCAUUGGCAGGAGGUGGGGAGUUGCCGGGCUGUGUCCGUGUGAAGGUGAUGGGAGCCUGCAAACAAGCUGGCCACUGCAAAGGGGAAGCAAGAGCAUUGAACUGAAGCAUGAAAGGUAUUUGCUACAACCUUCUCGCUUUUCUCUUGUACUCUUUCUGAUAAGCGAGGAGCCUCCUCUGACAGCUAGGUAGCCAGAAAAAUUUAAAAAAGGCAAAAGUCCACUUUAGUACUGACCGUCUGCAUUAUCCUGGUGUAUUGCUGAGAUAGGGAUAGGGAUGAAAUAAAACCUCAUGAACAAAUUUCUUGCAAACAAAUAGUUCUUGAAGCUAAAAGCAAACCCACUCCUGAGAUUGCUUUUGGUGAUAGUUACUCAAGAUGUGGAUAUAGUGAAUAUAUAGGUAUUCUAGACUCUUUUUGCCUUGUUGAUACAUUCUAAUGAGUUUUAAGUGCUCUGUUCUCUGAUUUCCCAUACCAUGCUUACCGUUUCUUUCCAACUCUUUCGUCCUCACAAUUGCUUAGUGAUAAUUGUUUCAGAAACCAGUGAACAUACACUUAAACAUUCACAAUAUGCACUUGGAAAAUAAAGGAUAAAGAAAAGAUAUGAAAAUUAAACAUGGUGU